rnacentral:rRNA from 1 species
AUGGCGCCGUUGGUGCCGAAGAAGAAGCGCAAGGUGAACCUCCCGGAGAACGAGGAGGUCGCGGCCAGGAUCUUCGGGAAGCACCGCUCCAUGGCGGCGCAGCAGCCGGGCGGCUUCCCGGAGCACCAGGCCCGCGCGCUCUCCGCCGCCUACACCGGCGUCUGCGCCGCCAAGGAGCCCGUCCGGACACCCGGCGACCUGGCCCGUGUCACGGGAGUUGGAGGUUGGGUUGUUGACGUCAUGGAAGACUCCUUUCCAGGGUCCAGCCUUGAUUUGUCCCCUCCGAGAAGUAAUACACCAGGAGAAACGGGGAAGAAGAACACACGAAACAAACCUUAUGUGCCACGGAUGAAAUCAGCUGCUUAUGCAAUAAUGAUCGCACUCUGCAGGGAAAUGGAAAAAGGGAAGGAAUUUAUGAUGAGGCAAGAGCUUAUUGAUGCUGCUGAAGCCAGUGGUCUGUCACAAUAUGCAAUAGGCCCAAACAACAGUAGGAAUUCUCGGAAUGACGGUUACAGUUUCACUGGAUGGAAUAGCAUGAAGAUGUUAACAAAUAAGGAUCUGGUUGAGAAAGAGAGUAAUCCUGCAAAUUUGUUACAUGAACCAGAUCUUGCUCAUUAUUUUGGUCCUACAGUCAUCUCCUUUAUUUCCACCCUGAAUACAAGCAGAAGCUCACCCUGUUCAAGUUCUGCUGAAAUGUCUUUACUAGCUAUGCCAUCUCAUCAAUCUAAUGAAAGUUUUCUGAAAGCUUAUGAAGCGGUGCUGAUAUUGGAUGAUCAAGAUACUUUCGGGCCCCGUUCCAGAAGAAAAGUUGUUGAUAAUAUACGCUCGCAGUUUAAUAUUCCUGUAGAGGUUAAACACUUGCCUGUUGGAGAUGCUCUUUGGAUUGCUCGCCAUAAAGAACUUGACACGGAUUAUGUUCUUGAUUUCAUUGUUGAAAGGAAAAAUGUGGAGGAUUUACUUGGCUCAAUUAAAGACAACAGAUACAAAGAUCAAAAACUAAGACUGAAGAAAUGUGGGCUAAGGAAGCUAAUAUAUCUAGUUGAAGGGGAUGUAAACACUGUAGAUGGAUCAGAGAGCGUUAAAACAGCCUGCUUCACUACUGAGGUUCUUGAAGGAUUUGAUGUCCAAAGAACCACUGGAUAUGCUGACACUGAAAAGAAAUACGGCCACCUCACGGGCUCUAUAAUUGAUUGCUACAGCAGAAACUUCUCUGCUGGUGCUGAUACCUCUCGACUUUGCCUGACCUACGACGAGUUUGUGAAGAGGUGUUCUGACCUUGAGAAGGUCACUAUGAGUGAUAUAUUCGCCGUUCAGCUUAUGCAGGUGCCACAAGUGACAGAAGAAGCUGCUCUUGCUGUCACGAGUCUCUACCCCACUCUUCUCUCGCUUGCUAAGGCGUACACCAUGCUUGAUGGCGAUAGGUGCGCCCAGGAGGAGAUGCUGCAGAACAAGAGCGACAUGGUCAACGCGGGGGCUAGCAAGAACAUUUUCAAGCUCAUCUGGGCGGAAGGAUGA